rnacentral:rRNA from 1 species
UACAGAGGUCCCAAGCGUUACUGAGAAUCACUGGGUUUAAAGGGUGCGUAGGUGGUCCGUUAAGUCAGUUGUGAAAUCCCCGGGCUCAACCCGGGAACUGCUUCUGAUACUGGCGGACUUGAGGCCAGUAGGGGUCACUAGAACUGACGGUGGAGCGGUGAAAUGCGUAGAUAUCGUCAGGAAUGCCGGUGGUGAAGACGGGUGACUGGGCUGGUUCUGACACUGAGGCACGAAAGCGUGGGGAGCGAACGGG